CCUGCGUUGUGUGAUGAUUUACAUUUAUAGCAUAGUUCAUCUGAAUUCCUUUGAUGACAACUGUAGCACAUAUAGUCUUUCGCUCCCAUCUGACACGCAUU
rfam:Podospora anserina genomic DNA, chromosome 2.